UGGGGAAUAUUGGACAAUGGGCGCAAGCCUGAUCCAGCCAUGCCGCGUGAGUGAUGAAGGCCUUAGGGUUGUAAAGCUCUUUCGGCGGGGACGAUAAUGACGGUACCCGCAGAAGAAGCCCCGGCUAACUUCGUGCCAGCAGCCGCGGUAAUACGAAGGGGGCUAGCGUUGCUCGGAAUCACUGGGCGUAAAGGGCGCGUAGGCGGACAUUUAAGUCGGGGGUGAAAGCCCAGGGCUCAACCCUGGAAUUGCCUCCGAUACUGGGUGUCUCGAGACCGGAAGAGGUGAGUGGAACUGCGAGUGUAGAGGUGAAAUUCGUAGAUAUUCGCAAGAACACCAGUGGCGAAGGCGGCUCACUGGUCCGGUUCUGACGCUGAGGCGCGAAAGCGUGGGGAGCAAACAGGAUUAGAUACCCUGGUAGUCCACGCCGUAAACGAUGGAUGCUAGCCGUUGGCAGGCUUGCCUGUCAGUGGCGCAGCUAACGCUUUAAGCAUCCCGCCUGGGGAGUACGGCCGCAAGGUUAAAACUCAAAGGAAUUGACGGGGUCAUAGCUGUUUCCU
rnacentral:rRNA from 1 species